ACGUGAGAACGGAUGAAAAUAUGGUAGAUGGAUCGAUUCAAUUGGACAGAAGAUAAAACGCGAGUGGAACGUGACACGUUCCGGCAAUCUGACCGCUUUUGGCGCACGCGACGCGUCGUUUACGCAAUUUAUCGUAACGUUAUAAACGCGGGGUUUAACUCCGUGUUCUUUGGUAUCGCGUGCACGACCAACGACGCAGUAAAUUCUCCGAUCCUUCGUUUUAAUCGUUCUUCGAAAACACGGCUGCCCCUGGGAACGGCAUACAAACGACUUUCCACCCUCUGGCUUCGUACGCCGCGACGCCGACGCGUUUACUCUCGUGUUCGUCCCCGUGGCCAGAUUCGGUAUUCGUUGUAUUAAUUUGCAGGACCGAACGCAACUCUAUCGCUACAGUUUCAUAAAAUCUGGUGUACUCACAGUGCUCGUUAGCCGAUAACCUAGAGGCUGGCCUCGCGCGCCCGGAAUGUGAAUCAGCCGCACGCGCGGCUCCCACGGCCGCUGUUGUUUACAACGGCACGGCGGCGCGUGUGCAUGCACCUUUAAGUCGGGAUGCGCGGCCAGGUAUGCGGCGUUCACACCUGUGCGCGACACAAUCGGGCUAAAUAUAGAGAGUCACUCGGUAUACUAGCGACGUUCUCGAUGUUCGCCGAUACAGACGCCUAUUAAUAGCGUGCGACAAUCGGACGCGCUCGCCAUCGAAUAAAAGAGGGAACCGCGUGUGUGGUCCGGGCAAUUAGCGGUCACUAGCGACAACUUUUCUGGACGAUGUUGUGUACCGAAUGUAUCGCAGAAUGCAAUAUCUGGGUCGUGUUACGUCGUAUUUCAGAAAGAGAAUUGCACGCUGCAGCCAAUGAACCUUGCAAGCAAGUCGAACGAAAGCGAGUCAAAGCGGCCGCAGAAGCCGCCUGUUCCCGAACUAGCAGGAAAGUUAACCAAUGGUCGCCCCCAGGACGUAAACAAUAAACAAAAGUCUCGAUGAAUCAGCGCUAAGGCACGUUGAAUCGAGCCAGCUCUAAAGAUGCUCUAUUAUUAGCCGUGUGAGGCAAUUACGGGCACGCCGGUAACGAUUAACCAGCCGCUUUUAAAUCGGCCAGUUAUUCCUGCCGAUGUGUCAUGGUAAAGCGGCUGUUCCAGUGGAAUCGGCGACAUUGACGGCGUCAUAGCCGUCCGUGUGUCUAUUCGCUCGCCAACGCGGCCACGAGGAAAUAGGAUCGUGGAAAUAAGCUUCUAUGUUCGUCGAUGAUUUAUAAAUAAAAUAACGAGAUUGUUAAGCGGCGCCAACAGAGAAUAAAUAUGCGCGCGACGUACUGUUCUCCGGGCCCCAACGAACUUUUCCAGCGUAUUUUCCCGUUUCCCCGUUUCUUCGAACGAACGUGAAUGAAGGUAGACUCGGGACAAGCCUUUGUCGCCAGACGAUUCACACACGUUCGCCAAGAUGCGCGACCAGCAUGCGAAUAGCGGCACGUUCGCGAUUAGAACACCCGCUACAGCCUACGUUCCCGUUGGUAGGCUGGUGUAAACAGGAAGCUCGCUAUCGCCUUCACGCUGAAUCUUCCAUUGUCUCUGCGACAACGGGCAAAAUCGCUCGGCGAUUCUCCGUACCCGAAGACUGGCAGUUGGACAAAAGAUUUCUUCUUUCGGAACUAUAUAUCAAGAGAAACCGUCUUCGCAUGAGAAACACGAGGCGCCGCCGUCUCGCUGCCUACUUUUUAGAAUAUUCGAGAUUUCUACUCUCACGGACGAUUUUCUACCGUCCCGGAACUACGCGGCUCUGAUGCAUUAUGUCCGCGCCACGUUGACGCGUUCCCUGGCGAAAGACUUUUGUUCUUUCCCACUCUAUGGAUUAUUCAUGUAUACUCGGUGUUUAAAGUGACAAUAUAAUUACAUCUCUAA